AUUCAAGUCAGAUUAUUCUCCAGAAAUUCAUGUGCAAAUCAGAAAAUCUCCUCUUUUUUAAAAAGUCUAGGUAGUCUUGGUCAUAGAAUAAGAUUCUGUGGUCUUGGUUAAAUUAUUUGGAGUCCGCUGGUGUUCACAAAAUUUCGCGGGCUCUUGUAGCAAUUUGGCGCCAUUUUGAUGAAAUUUAUAUUUUUCUUAAUAAAUUUCAUAUUUUGUAUCGAUUUCUGGCCAGCUUUGCCUACUAUUUCACAACCUUUGUCUUUUAUUCCUUUAUUACUAUUUAUUGAAUGGAAAGAAUAAUCGAAUUUAAUAAAUAUUGGGUUUAAAAGGUCUGUACCUACAGUAUUUCACAGCGAAGGCAAGUUUAUAAUGUUUGUUUAUACGAAGUUCAUAGACAUCAGAAGGAAUAGCAUGGCAUUGUUUGUUAGGCGCAAGAAAGUCAACACCUCGAUAUAUUAAACGGAUUUACGUAUAAAAUAAGGUAAGAAAACAUUAUACGAAUAAUGAAUGUUUAUGAGUGCCAAUUCGAAGCUUCCCGCCCGUAUUCUAAUUUCUAAAAGCUCACUCACACUCGAUGAGUGGAAGUUCAAUCUGAGCUUCUCUCGAGUGUCAUUGCUGUUUUUGAAUAGCUGGAGGGUUAGUGCAUAUCUAUAGGUUUAAUAGUGUCGUACCAAUUCAAAAAUAGCAUUGACACUCAAGAGAAGCUCAGAUUGAACUUCCACGCAUUGAGUGUGAGUGAGCUUUUAGAAUACGGGCGUUAUAAAUGUCAUUCUAUAAAUGGUAAAAAUAAUAAUCUAGCAGUAGAAACAGGGGCGUAAAUGUGGGGGGUGUUCACCCCCCCCCCCCGAGAAAUGAUCCAGUCGGUCUCAAACUAUGUGCAGUCGGUCUCACAAUUAUGCGCUUGUUUACACGCAGUGUUUUGCGAAGCAAAUGAAAUAUUUUCGAAACUCGAGAUAGACUCAAACUAUUGAGUAUUGAGUUGGAAAUUUGCUCAAACGCAUCAAACAGCUCAGAAAUAAUAUGAAGAAAUAUUACGUACUUAUUUUGCAAGUUUAUGAACGAAUUAUCAGUCAUUCCAUUUACUUUCCAAACAUGGAGAUAUCUACUUUACUCUACUACCAAACGCGAUGAAUCUCGAUCAAAUAUCUUAUCACAAUAUUUCUCCGGUCCCUAAACUAUAUUUUUAAGAUGCAAAGUGCAAAAACGAAUUUCUAGCCGAGUUAUAUUAGGAAGUAUGUUCACAUGUAACACAAUAUGCAUAUGAAUUUUGUUACCAAAGAGUUUUUUGUGCCUACUGCAAUCAAGAAAUUAUUAACGGAGCGAAAAAUUGUUUCCACUGACUAAGCGAUGUUUCCAAUUGUUGCUUACAGUCAGGCCCAUAACUAGGUAAAUGAGUCAAUCGAGUUCAAGUUCAAUGACAGACUGUAGUUCUCUCCAUGUAAAGAAGCAUUAUUCUUGCCCUACAGUGACGUAAGAAAUGGGAGGCUGUGUGGGUGUACAAGUACCCCAAUAACAAAAGUGCGGGCCAGCGCCCAAAUAUUACAACAAUUGAGCACAAAUGCUUUUUUAUUAUGCACCUGAUCAAUGAUGUUCGACCAAAAAUAUUUGUAAUUCUUAUCCUCAGGAUUGGGGGCAAACUACAUUAUAAAAUUAUAGUCAUUGUGUCACUGUAAUAUGAAAUUGAUUUUUCCUUUGAACUGCUCCCAGAAUGCAGGAAAUAGCAUUUCUAAGCCUUAGAAAAUCAAAAAUUUGGGCCCCCAGACCCCCCAGAAGUGUCUCAGUCAAUCAAAAAUCCUAUAGUUACGCACCUGACAGUUCCGCAUCAGCCGAGCGCAGCUUUUCAAAGCUGAAAUCAGUGAAAACUGUUAUGUGUUCAGUAAUGAACCAGGAAAGCCUUGGUGAACUCUUGACUCUUGCGUGUGAGCGCGAUCUAACAGACACGAUCGAUCUUCAGACGAAAUCGCUAAUCCGUGGUCAAACCUUACUAAGCGCGGACAUUUAAUAAAAAUAUAACGUUUCACAGCAAACUGUACGUGUUCUUGCAAAAUUCCUAAUAAAUGCCAUCAAUUUCCAUGCUUUGUACUCAAUUUUAUUGCAACACACCAACUCACCAAGAGUCGGUCUGGAUUCACAUUUCAGUGGUGGGUCGGUCUCAUUUUAUGACUACACCCUCCCAGUCAAAAUCGAUAUGUCCGCCCCUGAGUAGAAAAGAUAACUGAAAAGAUUAUUUAAUGCCCGACUCUUUAAUAUCCAAACCCUUCCUUUAUAUAAACCCUGACUUAAUUUGAUUACAAAUAGUCAUGUAGUCACAUAGACUUAGGGCCUGUUCAUAUGGGGAAAAGUUCCAAUCUCGGUUAGACUCAGUUCCGAAAUAUCGCAUACUCGAACCGACCUGACCGUGUAGCUCAGUUGGCAGAGCAUUGGGCUAGUAUUCCAGAGGUCGUAGGUUUGAUUCCCACCAUGGCCAGGUAUAUUUUUCAAGCCUGCCUGGUGUGGAUACACACUCAGAGUAACAUUGCAAGCAUCUUAUUCACCUGAGUAUACACUACACCAACACAGCAAAUAGCCAAAUAAUUUUGUUCUGUUCAUGUGAAGAAGUUUCUGAUGCGACAGGAAGUUUUCCCGCGGGAAAGUUGUGGCUAUGUUGUGUUCAUAUGGGAAAAACACCCUGGUCACAGAGAUCUCGCCUGUCAAUAAGUGAGAUCUCAGUACACGGGAAAACUUUUCAUCUUUUCGAACUACUUUUAUAGCAUUUUUGUCUAUUUAGGCUUUUUGGUAUCAUUUGGUUAUAGAUUCAUGUCUCGCUCUUUAUGAAUGCUAACCUUAACCGCUAACCCUAAUUCAUAAACAGCGAGACAUGAAUCUAUAUCCUAUCAUUUUCAUGAUGAGGCUGCUGACCAAAAUGAAAAAUAUCACAGGCUCAGAAGUAUUGAAACAGUCGGUAUUUCUUGCCAGUGUCGAAACUUUUACUUCAAAACCCUGCUAUCGAUAGUAUUGAGUAUUUGGUAUCGGUAUUAGCCCAUCCUUAGCCAAUGAUAAGAAAGCUGUGGAUUGAUUCAACUACUUGAAGGAGAACUUUGAAUAUAUAAAAGUGACCAUGUAACAAAAAAUAAACCAAUCAGAUGGAUUUAGUUGAAACAAAGUGUAAAAAAGAUUAUGUAAAUCACAUUACAGAAUAUAUUAAUACAAAUAUACAGAAAACUGCAACAAAUACCGUACAAAAAAUACAUGAAUAAUAGUAUGGAAUAAUUAUAAUAAAAUUAUAAUGUGAGAAUUUAAUUUAAAGUACUGUCAAUGUCUUCUUUUGACGGGCAAAGACAGAUUGUUUCUUAUGUUUAGCUCUGUCUGUCUUUGCCUGUCAAAGCAGACAUUAACAGUACUGUUAAUUAAAUUCUUAACUUUUUCCAUACUUGUUUCGUAUAUUUUUUUGUGUUUUUUUUUUUGUAUUUGUUGUAGUUUUCUCUAUAUUUGUAUAAAUAUAGUCCGUGAUGCAGUGAUGUUUUCCAGGGGGGACGCGGGGGAACGCCGUCCCCUCACCUUUUUUACCAGGGGAACGGCAUCCCCCCUGCCAAAAUCAAACGUGGGGGAACGCUGUUCCCCCUGGCAGGGAUUAAAUAUGAGUGAAGAAAUAAUUUUGGCAUCACUUGUUCUACAUACAUGUUAUUUUUGGCAAUAAUUGCUCAGCAUCCUCCCUGAAACUUGAUAUACUUGCAUAAAAUUCUAGCAGACUAGCACAAAAAUACGAGAGUCUGAUAAUUGACAUCCGCUUAGAUAGGUACUUACCAGUCAUAAGCGCGGAUAACGUCUCUCGCACAAUCGCGAAAUUAAAUAUUCAAAUGAACAAUAAAAUGAUCAAUGGGGACAUAAAAUGAUUCAAUAAGAACAUUAACAUGAUUGAAUGGAUAGGAUCAAAGGAUAUCUAUUAUCUAAGCUUAUUUAGUUACUCGCGAAAACGUGAUAUUCAACUUGCAAAGUCGCCUGUUUGCCGAGUUACUCGCAUAGCAUCGAAAUUCGAAAGUCAUUGUGGUUUUAUUUUCUUUUUGACAUCUACCACGCACAAGCUAGGUGUUUUUAGGGACAUGUUGUACUACGCAAUAGCUUAGUUUUUGAAGUAGAUUUAUGUACUGUUCACUAUGACUAUGCAUGAAGCCACGCCCAAUCGAGUGACCACGCCCAUUUGAUUUUCAAGACCGUUCCCCCAUUUCUAAAUGUAUGUGUAUUCCCAGUCCAUCCGAUACCAAUCGUACGGAUCGACAACAUUUUUGAGACCUCCCUUAGCCACUCGAACGCUUGAGCACUAGAUUCACGGAUCGACAAUUCAUAUUUUCCGAUCGUGAAUUCCCAGUCCAUCCGUUACCAAUGGUACGGAUAGACAACAUUUUCGAGGCCUCCCUUAGCCACACCCAAGCUUGAGCACCAGAUUCACGGAUCCACAAUUCAUAUUUUCCGAUCGUGAAUUCCCAGUCCAUCCGAUACCAAUCGUACGGAUCGACAACAUUUUUGAGACCUCCCUUAGCCACUAGAACGCUUGAGCACUAGAUUCACGGAUCGACAAUUCAUAUUUUCCGAUCGUGAAUUUCCAGUUCAUCCAUUACCAAUCGUACGGAUCGACAACAUUUUUGAGACCUCCCGUAGCCACACCCAAGCUUUAACACUAGAUUCACGGAUCGACAUUUCAUAUUUUCCGAUCGUGAAGCCCGGUCCAUCCGUUACCAAUCGUACGGAUCGACGUUCAGUCUUUACCAACCGUUAUGACUAUACAAGUGUUCCAUCCGUGCCCAAAAUUUCGCGAAACGAACGAUCCGUAUGCAUGCGACAGUAUUGGACAACCAUCUCUAAAAUUAGCAAAACAUCGCUGCCGUGAUGUGACGGACUGCACUUAAUUUUGCUUGCACUUUGUUUUGACUAAAUCCAUCUGAUUGGUUGAUUUUUUGUCACAUGAUCACUUUUAUGUUCACUACUAAGUAGUAUAAAGGCUCGUGUAAUCCCCCGCUACUAACUUCCUGACAAAGGGCCUUCACUCAAAAUUUUAAAGUUCUCCUUGUAUAUUUCUGGUAUCCCUAUCAAUCUGAAGCUAAAACAAAAAAUUAAAUAGAGACAAAAUUAGAUUGUAAAAUGAUUGUCAAAUAGACUACACACUUGUGUCUUGCUGCCUUAGGUUCCUCCAGUAAUUAUGCACUGGUCUGGUCACUCUAGAGCAUUGAAAUUUCAAGUUUCCUGGUUUGCUAUAGCUUGUGCCAAAUCGAGUUUCACAGAAAGCCCUGAUGCACUGUACUAAUAGAACAAUGCUUGUUUUCUAGAUGAAAAUGGGUGAUACUGGAGUAACACAAACAAGUAGUAUAAUGAAUUACUUUCAAAGAGAAAAAUCACCAGUGGACACUAAAACUGACACAUUCACAAAGGACAAAAAAAUCGUCGAGAGCCCAAUUUUGGUAGACCCGAAGGAAGAUGCUUUGGGCAUUGCCAUAGGUAAGAAAUACACGCACAAAUAAUACAAUACAUACACAAUA